ACCAGGUCACAGUCAGACGUUUUCCUCAGUUCUCACUGGAUAGCAUCAACACCCCAAAGAGAAGCCAUGAAGCCAGUGAUCGUGCUGUUCGUUGUGCUGAUGAUGAUUGCACUGGUGUGCAAUGUUUAUGCUGCAUGUGAGAAUGGAAGAUGUGCUGAGACAUGUAGUGGUAAUGAAUCUAAAGACAGCAAUUCAUACUGUGGGGGUGGAAAUAUAUGCUGUGUUGAAAAAGAUGUAGGAUCGUUAAUUGACGGCUGGUGAAGAACAUCCGUAAAGGAAGAUGUGUAUCAAGCAACAUGCAUU